rnacentral:rRNA from 1 species
AUUGAACGCUGGCGGCAGGCCUAACACAUGCAAGUCGAGCGAGCGGCGGACGGGUGAGAAAUGUAUGGGGACUGCCCGAUAGAGGGGGAUAACUACUGGAAACGGUGGCUAAUACAGCAUACUAUCGGAUAACCCAUAUUGGAUUAGCUAGUAGGUGUGGUAAAGGCUAACCUAGGCGACGAUCUGUAGCUGGGUUGAGAGGAUGAUCAACCACACGUGGACGGGGACACGGCCCAGACGCCUACGGAUGCAGCAGUGGGGAAUAUAGCACAAGUGGCGCAAGCCUGAUGCAGCCAUGCCGCGUGUAUGAAGAAGGCUUUAGGGUUGUAAAGUACUUUCAGCGGGGAGGCGUUACCCGCAUAAGAAGCACCGGCUAACUCCGUGCCAGCAGCCGCGGUAAUUC